CGUUUGUUCUUUGUGUUUGCCACCAUGCUGAGUUCAGUGUCUGCCUGGCUGGUUAUCAUCAUCCUCAUCCUCCUCAGUCUGCUGCCAGAGAUCCUUUUGGUGGUCCUUCGCAAGCCCAGAGGCCCCCAUUCACGACAGAAAAAGCAGAGUCAGUCAAAUGUUGGGGGCAACCAAUCCUCUCAGUCUUCAGCCAGACCCCUGCUCUUGAGAACCUUUUCAGACGAGUCAAAUUCUGUCAUGUGAACAGCUGUCAGAGGAUUCCUCGACUGACACAUACAGAUGGCUGCGGUCACACCUCUCUCCUACAAGCAUCUGAAGGAGCGCCACUGUGAUGGGCACAGACAGCCUUUGGUUAAGACUACUGAUGGGCCCCUCACAUCUGCCGGGGUCGCUGCGCUUCCUCUUGCCUGUUUAAAUGAAUCAUGACAAUGGAACUUAAACUGCUUUACUGUUACAGCUUAUCUUAAAGCCUUCCAUCUCAGCACGAUUCCACAAAAACUGUUUUCUGCCCUGUCCUACUGCCAAACUCCCAUAUUCAACCCUACCGGGAUGAAUGUGUCACUGGCAAAAUCGUCAGUAGCGCUCGACUGCUACAGAAUGUGCCAACAUCCCUGCUCCACCUGGUUCCUCCUUAUUGGUUGUCUUUCCUGAUCGCCCCAAAAAAAGUCCCAUAAAUGCCACUUUUCAUACUCUCUGAUUUUCUUUACUUUGUAGGCAGACAGUUGGCUCCUUUUGUGAUCGGUUACCAGCUGUGAUCACAAUCCCAAAUCGUAGAUUAGAGUUUUGUGAUAUGUAGCUGUUCAAGAUUCCUAAAUGUGAGCUCUCUCUAAGAUGCUGCACUGCGGGCCCUGACCCUAUGGGUAUAAAAGCUGCCUUUCAACAAUUUGCUGUUUGUUCGACCACAUGGAGUUCUGGGAUAUCCCACGGAGCCCAACAACUCCAUAUGUGUCCGUGUGUGUGAGAAAUCGAAAAUCAAUUACAGAUUUUCUUCAGAUAUUUCUUAUAAUGUACUGUCACAGUCUUUCAAUGUUACUCUUUGUUGAAACGGGGAUCAGUUUACAGUUGAGUUACAAAUUGUACUAGUGAAAAGUGUGGAAAAUGUUGCUUGAUGCCAAAAAAAAAAGAAGAGAGAUUCCAUUAAAACGGACGACCGGCUGUCUUCAGUUUUUCCUUGAAGAUAGAUUAUCCAUGGUUACGGCACACAUUAGGAUUGGUUCUCGAUGCAGAGUUAAUUGCAUAUUUCAGAGUGAGUCCGAGUUAAGCAUCUAUUCAAUGUUGAGCCAUUAAUGACACAUAUAUUGAAUGUGUCAGCUUUAUAUACCAGGCCAGUGCUCAAAAACACACUUUCACGUCCACAUGCAUACAUUUCACUUUUGAGGUUACUGAUUAAAUCACUUAUAAGCGGUGGAGCUUAGAUUGGUGAAAUAAGAGCUUUGGGUCCGAUGCAUAUUGAACUCAUGUGUGCCCUCUAGUGGUUUGGAGGGCAAUCUUCAUUCUACUUUUUUUCACUUCUAAAUACAUUCCAUUUCUACGUGCCAUAAUUUCAGUCACUUUUUAGAUUAUAAUUGAAUUAUUUUGUUCUUGACUAUGUGAUUCUAUUUGACAUAUUUAUUGUUCCUUGUAAUUAUUCUUACAAAUGUUGUAUUUUUGUCAGAGGUAUUUCUUUCUCUUCUUAACUUGUUAAUCAUUAUCAGCUUGUGCCAACUGAUUUUUUUAUUUUAUUUAUUUAGUAUUAUUUUAUUUUAUUUUUUAUUUUUGCCUGUGCAAUCCGCUGUUGAACAGAUUGGGUUUCUAUAUACAGACCCUGUAAACCAGCAGCUCUGGUCUAUUUCUCUGGUCAGAGAUCAGUCCUAUAGAUCCUUCCUUAAUAUAUGGUGUGAAUGCAGCUGAAAUCUCUGUGUCCCUUUAAUACGAAUGAUCUAUUCCAUUCUUCUUUCUGCUUGUAGCCCAAAAUGGGCCACUGCCUGGCAUGUUCUGUAAUCGGGCAAAUUUCUUGAUUAUGUUUCUCCUAAAACAAUGCCAUAGGAAAGAUGCCACAUUCCUGCUUCAACUAUUUUCAAGUGUGUGUGUGUGUGUGUGUGUGUAUUAUCCAAGGGAAAGUGGUGUGUGCUAGACCUCUGACUGUGUCAUGAUGCUAAGCAUCUUAAGCUCAGCUCCCAGUCUUGGGCCGGGCUUAAUCCAGCUGUAUCACAGCCCCGCGUAACCGCCAGGCCUUCUUUUAAUUUCUGAUUACAUCUUGAAUUAGCUUCCCAGAGAAAAUAUAUCAGAGCUUUAUUUACAUUUGCUUUCAGCUAGACGGGUGAGGCCAGUUAGUAUGAUGUUUCAUUGUGAACAUUAGCCCAAUGUGAGCACGAUUUUGUUUUUCUCGAUGCAUGUGUGACUACUAAUGCCACCACUGGACUGAACCCUGGUGAGCACAUACACACUCACACCAAGAUGAAGACACAUCCAUGUGUUUGUUCAGCUCAGUUUGGGAGGGGAAAACAGAACUUGCUUGCAAUAUUUGAAAUUUCCAAACAGACCUUUAAAUUACUUCAGAGAUGCUAUUUUCAAAGCUUAUAAUAAUUCUUGGAUUCUCAUGUUGCCUGAAUAUAUAUAAAUAUUUGAUUGUAUUUUUAAUGAAACUUUUUGAGCCAAUUUUUGUAAGAAAAAGAAAACGUCCAAAAAACAAAACAAAAAAAGGCUGAGAAAGGCGGCCUGAUUGUGGAGCGUGAGGCAGGGCUGUGGUGUGUUGCUGUGAAUUGAAUCAGGCGCUAGCACGGUCAGCCCUGCUUCCUCCAUCAUGUCCCUCAGGCUCCAGAUGAUCUGAAUGUACCUCUCAAGACCAGUCUGUUUCAAAACAUUUUCUUUAAUAAAAGCUGUUUUGAAAG